rnacentral:rRNA from 1 species
AUUAAGUAUUUAAAGGGAUUCGUAAGGAUACCUAGCAGAUAUACUAGAAAGGAAGUAAUUCUUUAAGAAAUAGUAUAAAUUUUGUAUUCUAUUUCAAUCCUAAGGAAAACCAAAAAAGUGGAAUACGCUGGGAACUAAAACAUUUCAGUACCAGUAGGAAAGGAAAUCAAACGAGACUUCUGUAGUAAUGGUGAGUGAAACAGAAUAAGCCUUCUAAAAUUUUAUUAUAAAACAAGUAUGAACAAAAUAUUGUGGAAUUCAAUAAAAUAGAAUAUUAUUCUAUACCAAAGAUGGUGAAAGUCCAAAUAGUUCAACUUCAAUAAUUGAUUGGAGACUUGAUAAUAGAAUUUUAGAUACAAAGUAAUAUGAAGACGGCAGCUUUGUAUGAAAAAUGGGGAUACCAUUCUCCAAGGCUAAGUAUAGUAUAUCUAGCGAUAGUGAAGAGUAACGUGAGUGAAAGGUGAAAAGUAAGUGUAUGACUGGUGAAAUAGAUCUUGAAUUACAAGCCUUACAAGCAGUUAGAGUUCUAUAGAAUAGAAUGAUAACGUACCUUUUGCAUAAUGGGUCAGCAAGUUAAUUAUAAAUGCAAGAUGAUAAAUCUUAGUGAAAACGAUUCGUUAUGUUUACGGAGAUAAGUAUUUAUAAUUAGAUCCGAAACCAGAUGAUCUUUUUAUGGCCAGGUUUUAAAGGACCGAACAUAUGAAUGUUGCAGUAUUCUGUGAUGAGCUGUGAAAAGGGGUGAAAUGCUAAUCUAAUCUGGUGAUAGCUGAUAUUCUGCGAAAUCUAUUUUAGUAGAAAGUCUAUAAAAAUUAUUUUUAGUAUAGCACUGAUUUCCAUUUCUUUUAUUAAAGAAUAAAUUAGGGGGUUAUAAACCCUACUAUUGGAAGUUAACCUCAGAAGAAGAAUAAUUGAUUAUAGACUGACAGUCUAUUUGUGAUAAGGUAAAUAGACAAAAGGGAAACAGCCCAGAUCAUAAAUUAAGGUCCCUAAUAAAUAUUUAGUGAACAUAAGAAGGUCUUUUAUCUAAUACAACUACAAAGUAAGCUUGGAAGUAGCUAUCUUUUAAUGAAAGUGUAACAACUCAAUAGUCUAAUGGAUAAAAGGCAUCGAAGAUUAACGGGUCUGAAAUAUUUAACCUACAUUAUGAUAUGUAUACAUUUCUAUUUCUAAUAUAGAAAUGUAUAUGUAGGUAGCAGAACACUUAGUAUGAGAGUGAAGAAGUGUAUGAAUACAUUUUGGACUAUACUAAAGAGAGAAUGCUGGCAUGAGUAACGAUUAAGAAGUUAAAAUACUUCUCGCCGAACACGAAAGGGUUUUAUGGAAAAGGUAAUCUGCCAUAAUUUAUACGGUUUCUAAGGAAAAUAAACGAAUUGUUAUUUUCUGAUGAAGAAUAGAAAUCAUAGAGAAAGAAUCUUUCUUCUAGAAAAAGAUUUCUACUAUGAAUAGUAACCGUACCUGAAACCGACACAGGUUCGUGGGUAGAGUAUACUAAGGCGUAGAGAUAAGGCUAGUGAAGGAACUCGGCAAAAUGCUUCUGUAAGUUCGACGAUAAAGAAGAAGUUAUAAUUUAGAAUCAUCUUAUGAUUCUUUUAUAACUUGUCACAAAAGUGAGGGCUUCGACUGUUUACUAAAAACAUAGCAACUUGCUAAGACGAAAAGUACUUGUAUAAGUUGUGAACUCUGUCCAAUGCCAUUUGUUUAAGGAAGGGAAUCUUCUUCCGGGAAGUGUUCCUGACUGAUGCGGUGGUGAAUGACGGUCUUAACUAUAAGGAUCUGAAAGUAGCGAAAUUCCUUGGCCAUUAAAUGUGGUCCUGCAUGAAUGAGGUAACGCGGCCCUGCUGUCUCCACUAGCUUCUCAGUGAAAUUGAAUUAGCCGUGCAGAUGCGGUUUGCCUUCCGGAGGACGCGAAGACCCUAUGCAGCUUUACUGUAUUCUGAUAUUGUUAUUCGUGAUAUAUAGUGUAGAAUACAAGGGAGUGUAACAUCCGUGAAAUACCUUGAUAUAUUGAAUUGAAUAACUGAUUUCUGCUAAGAAAGACAGUAUCAGAUGGUCAGUUUUACUGGGGCGGUAGCCUCUAAGAAAGUAUCAGAGGCCUUCAAAGGUAUACUUACAUUGGUCAGAAACCAAUAGAUAAUUGUAUCUAUCAAAAUGUAAUGAUAAAAGUAUGCUUUACUGAAAGAUUGAUAGAUCGAUCAGUUACGCAAGUAGGAUAUAGUGAUCCGAUGAUUCAGAAUGGAAUGAUCAUCGCUCAAGAAAUAAAAGUUACGCUAGGGAUAACAGGUUUAUCGUUUGCGAGAGUUCACAUUGUCCAAACGGUUUGACACCUCGAUGUCGACUCUUCUCAUCCUCCAGGUGUAGUAGCUUGGAAGGGUUCAGCUGUUCGCUGAGUAAAGAGGAACGUGAGUUGGGUUUAAUACGACGUGAGUCAGUAUAGAUUCUAUCCUCGGAAGGAAAAAAGAAUAAAAGGAGAACCUCUAAUUAGUACGAAAGGACCAUUAGAGAGAAUUCAAUGGUGACUCUGUUGUUGUUAUAAUUAUGUUGUCUUAUUAUAAUAGCACUGCAGAGUAGCUACAAUUCUAAAAGAGAAGUACUGAAAGCAUCUCAAGUGCGAAACAGAUCUCUGGAUAUUCUUUAUAAAUAAGAAAAAGACUAUUUCUUUAUUUUUAGGAUGCAAAUGUUAGUUUAGCAUUACUAAUGUAUUAAUAAACUUAAUUGUACCAUAUUGUUUUAAUAC